rnacentral:rRNA from 1 species
UCGAGAAUCUUUCGCAAUGGGCGAAAGCCUGACGAAGCGACGCCGUGUGUGUGAUGAAGGCCUUUGGGUUGUAAAACACUUUCGCCUGGGAACAAGAGAGAUUGGCUAAUAUCCAGUCGAUUUGAGGGUACUAGGUAAAGAAGCACCGGCUAACUCCGUGCCAGCAGCUGCGGUAAUACGGAGGGUGCAAGCAUUAAUCGGAUUUAUUGGGCGUGAAGAGCGCGUAGGCGGGAAGGAAAGUUAGAUGUGAAAGCUCGGAGCUCAACUUCGAAGACGCAUCUAAAACUACUUUUCUAGAGGAUGGAUGGAGAAAAUGGAAUUCCACGUGUAGCGGUGAAAUGCGUAGAUAUGUGGAAGAACACCAGUGGCGAAGGCGAUUUUCUAAUUUAUUCCUGACGCUGAGGCGCGAAAGCAAGGGGAGCAAACAGG